AGUACAGCAAGCAUCUAGAGAAGCUGAGGGGCUCCUCAGACAAACCUUCGUGGAGGUGAUGAGCAUCACUGUCUGACAGGAAGAAUCCGAAAAGAUGAAGGUCGGUGGUGAUGUCUUUCUGCUCUGUGUCCUUUUUGCAGGUCCUCUAGAUGCCAGGAGCUUCAAGGUGACAUCUCUCCCAGGUGUCACCAUGUCCCUGAACUGUUCAAACAACAGAAGUAACUCCCCGAUGUUCUGGUACAGACAGCUCUCUGACCAGCCUCCUCAGCCCGUGAUGCAGUCAUUCACAGCUCAGUCUUCAGACCACUAUCUCUACAAUCAUCCUCAAGAGAAGUUCUCAAGUAAAGAAGGUCACACUUUAGUCAUCAAGAAUGUAAGCCAUGAGGACUCGGCAGUUUACUACUGUGUCAAUCUCAAACAAAUCCCCCUCAGAUUCACUGAUGGAGUUCAUCUCAUUGUUGAGCCUGAGCGUUUAUACCAGAAGGCUGAAGUUUUUCCUGUGUCUUUAAUUGUCCCGGCCGUCCUGUUGGCUGUGAUGACCCCCUUUGCUGUGUAUUUAGCAUACAGACUGACAUGUAAGGAAAAAUCAAGAAGAAUGUCCGGAGUUGUGGAUCUGAUCCAGAGGAGGGUGGUGUCCAACUAGAAGGUGACUACCAGACGCUCUCUCACAAGGAUCAGGCUGUGUAUGAAGUGUGCGCCCCACAAACAAACACAAAAAAGCAGUGAGCCAAGGACGUCGAGUCUUCAUUUCCUCCUCUUUUCUCCCGGAUCUGCAUUGACAUGAAAACCUUAGCCUCAGUUAAGCUGCUCACAGUCUGACCAACAGAGGGCGCCAUGGCUUUAGGUUUUCCAAGAGAGUCCCCAGCUGUUGACUUCUGCACCCAGCGUGACUUUGACUCUGUGACGUGGCUCACCCGGUGGCCCCGUUCUGAUCUGAUCUUUCCAUCUGCUCCUUUUAAUCUCCAUUCGGUUUCAUUUCUUUCACAUUGUCACGUUUCUCAGAUAAAAUAAUAAAUCACUCACAACUCCUGGUUUGCUCGUUAA